rnacentral:rRNA from 1 species
CCUACGGGAGGCAGCAGUGGGGGAUAUUGCACAAUGGGGGGAACCCUGAUGCAGCGACGCCGCGUGGGUGAAGGAGUGCUUCGGCAUGUAAAGCCCUAUCGGCAGGGAAGAAGCAAGACGGUACCUGACUAAGAAGCCCCGGCUAACUACGUGCCAGCAGCCGCGGUAAAACGUAGGGGGCGAGCGUUAUCCGGAUCCACUGGGGGGAAAGGGAGCGUAGACGGCCAAGCAAGCCGGGGGUGAAAGCUGAGGGCUCAACCCCGGGACUGCCUGUGGAACUGCAUGGCUGGAGUGCGGGAGGGGCAGGCGGAAUUCCUGGUGUAGCGGUGAAAUGCGUAGAUAUCAAGAGGAACACCGGCGGCGAAGGCGACCUGCUGGACCACGACUGACGUUGAGGCUCGAAAGCGUGGGGAGCGAACAGGAUUAGAUACCCGUGUAGUC